AGAGUUUGAUCAUGGCUCAGAACGUACGCUGGCGGCACGCCUAACACAUGCAAGUCGAACGAAGUAGCAAUACUUAGUGGCAGACGGGUGAGUAACAUGUGGGUAUCUGCCCUUUGGCCUGGAAUAACACGAGGAAACUUGUGCUAAUACUGGAUAAGUCUUUACGGAGAAAGCUUUAUGCACCAUUGGAUGAGCCCGCACUUGAUUAGUUUGUUGGUGGGGUAAUGGCCUACCAAGACUGUGAUCAAUAGCUGAUUUGAGAGGAUGAUCAGCCACAUUGGGACUGAGACACGGCCCAAACUCCUACGGGAGGCAGCAGUGGGGAAUCUUGCACAAUGGAGGAAACUCUGAUGCAGCGAUGCCGCGUGAGUGAAGAAGGCCCUUGGGUUGUAAAGCUCUUUCGUCGGGGAAGAAAAUGACUGUACCCGAAUAAGAAGGUCCGGCUAACUUCGUGCCAGCAGCCGCGGUAAUACGAAGGGACCUAGCGUAGUUCGGAAUUACUGGGCUUAAAGAGUUCGUAGGUGGUUGAAAAAGUUGGUGGUGAAAUCCCAGAGCUUAACUCUGGAACUGCCAUCAAAACUUUUCAGCUAGAGUUUGAUAGAGGAAAGCAGAAUUUCUAGUGUAGAGGUGAAAUUCGUAGAUAUUAGAAAGAAUACCAAUUGCGAAGGCAGCUUUCUGGAUCAUUACUGACACUGAGGAACGAAAGCAUGGGUAGCGAAGAGGAUUAGAUACCCUGGUAGUCCACGCCGUAAACGAUGUCUGCUAGGUGUCGGGAGGUAACCUUUCGGUGCCGCAGCUAACGCAUUAAGCAGACCGCCUGGGAAGUACGGCCGCAAGGCUAAAACUCAAAGGAAUUGACGGGGGCCCGCACAAGCGGUGGAGCAUGUGGUUUAAUUCGAGGCAACGCGAAGAACCUUACCAGCCCUUGACAUGGGUAGUAUGGAUUUUGGAGACAAUUUCCUUCAGUUCGGCUGGCUACCACACAGGUGCUGCAUGGCUGUCGUCAGCUCGUGUCGUGAGAUGUUGGGUUAAGUCCCGCAACGAGCGCAACCCUCAUCUUCAGUUGCUAACGCCUAGGGCGAGCACUUUGGAGAAACUGCCUGGGAUGACUAGGAGGAAGGCGAGGAUGACGUCAAGUCCUCAUGGCCCUUAUGGGCUGGGCUACACACGUGCUACAAUGGCGGUGACAACGGGAAGCAAUUGGGCAACCUUGAGCAAAUCCCCAAAAACCGUCUCAGUUCGGAUUGUACUCUGCAACUCGAGUGCAUGAAGUUGGAAUCGCUAGUAAUCGUGGAUCAGCAUGCCGCGGUGAAUACGUUCCCGGGCCUUGUACACACCGCCCGUCACACCAUGGGAGUUGGUUUUACCCGAAGGCGGUGCGCUAACCUUUUGGAAGCAGCCGACCACGGUAGGGUCAGCGACUAGGGUGAAGUCAUAACAAGGUAACCGUA
rnacentral:rRNA from 1 species